AUACGGAGGGUGCAAGCGUUACUCGGAAUUACUGGGCGUAAAGGACGCGUAGGCGGUUUAGAAAGUCAGAUGUGAAAGCCUAUGGCUUAACCAUAGAACUGCAUCUGAAACUCCUAGACUAGAGUGAGAGAGAGGUCAGUGGAAUUAGUGGUGUAGGGGUAAAAUCCGUAGAGAUCACUAGGAAUACUCAUAGCGAAGGCGACUGACUGGAACUUUACUGACGCUGAGGCGUGAAAGCGUGGGGAGCAAACAGGAUUAGAAACCCCAGUAGUCC
rnacentral:rRNA from 1 species